rnacentral:rRNA from 1 species
AGAGUUUGAUCCUGGCUCAGGACGAACGCUGGCGGCGUGCUUAACACAUGCAAGUCGAACGGAAAGGCCCUUCGGGGUACUCGAGUGGCGAACGGGUGAGUAACACGUGGGUGAUCUGCCCUGCACUCUGGGAUAAGCCUGGGAAACUGGGUCUAAUACCGGAUAGGACCGCAUGCUUCAUGGUGUGUGGUGCAAAGCUUUUGCGGUGUGGGAUGAGCCCGCGGCCUAUCAGCUUGUUGGUGGGGUAAUGGCCUACCAAGGCGACGACGGGUAGCCGGCCUGAGAGGGUGACCGGCCACACUGGGACUGAGAUACGGCCCAGACUCCUACGGGAGGCAGCAGUGGGGAAUAUUGCACAAUGGGCGCAAGCCUGAUGCAGCGACGCCGCGUGAGGGAUGACGGCCUUCGGGUUGUAAACCUCUUUCAGUAGGGACGAAGCGAAAGUGACGGUACCUACAGAAGAAGGACCGGCCAACUACGUGCCAGCAGCCGCGGUAAUACGCAGGGUCCGAGCGUUGUCCGGAAUUACUGGGCGUAAAGAGCUCGUAGGUGGUUUGUCGCGUUGUUCGUGAAAACUCACAGCUUAACUGUGGGCGUGCGGGCGAUACGGGCAGACUAGAGUACUGCAGGGGAGACUGGAAUUCCUGGUGUAGCGGUGGAAUGCGCAGAUAUCAGGAGGAACACCGGUGGCGAAGGCGGGUCUCUGGGCAGUAACUGACGCUGAGGAGCGAAAGCGUGGGUAGCGAACAGGAUUAGAUACCCUGGUAGUCCAA